rnacentral:rRNA from 1 species
UACGUAGGGUGCAAGCGUUAAUCGGAAUUACUGGGCGUAAAGCGUGCGCAGGCGGUUUUGUAAGUCAGCUGUGAAAUCCCCGGGCUCAACCUGGGAAUGGCAGUUGAGACUGCAAGGCUAGAGUGUGUCAGAGGGGGGUAGAAUUCCACGUGUAGCAGUGAAAUGCGUAGAGAUGUGGAGGAAUACCGAUGGCGAAGGCAGCCCCCUGGGAUAACACUGACGCUCAUGCACGAAAGCGUGGGGAGCAAACAGG